rnacentral:rRNA from 1 species
AGCAGCCGCGGUAAUUCCAGCUCCAAUAGCGUAUAUUAAAGUUGUUGCAGUUAAAAAGCUCGUAGUUGAAUUUCGGGGUUAGUAGGCUGGUCGUGCCACUGGUACGUACUGGUCUCACUGAUUCCUCCUUCCUGAUGAACCGUAAUGCCAUUAAUUUGGUGUUGCGGGGAAACUGGACUGUUACUUUGAAAAAAUUAGAGUGUUUAAAGCAGGCUAACGCUUGAAUACAUUAGCAUGGAAUAAUGAAAUAGGACGUUCGAUCCUAUUUUGUUGGUUUCUAGGAUUGACGUAAUGAUUAAUAGGGAUAGUUGGGGGCAUUAGUAUUCAAUUGUCAGAGGUGAAAUUCUUGGAUUUAUUGAAGACUAACUACUGCGAAAGCAUUUGCCAAGGAUGUUUUCAUUAAUCAAGAACGAAAGUUAGGGGAUCGAAGACGAUCAGAUACCGUCGUAGUCUUAACCAUAAACUAUGCCGACUAGGGAUCGGAUGAUGUUAAUUUUUUAAUGACUCAUUCGGCGCCUUACG